rnacentral:tRNA from 1 species
GGAAGUGUGGCUCAGGGGUAGAGCGCCUACCUAGUGAGAAGGAUUCCUUGAGUUCAAAUCUCAGCACUGCCA